ensembl:lncRNA
AAUGCUGUUAGUUUGAACACAGAGCAACAUUAACUCUUGUGUUGGGCGUGGUUGGUUUGUGUUGGGUGUGGUUGGUUUGUGUUGGGCGUGGUUGGUUUGUGUCGGGCGAGUUUGGUUUGUGUUGGGCGUGGUUGGUUUGUGUUGGGCGUGGUUGGUUUGUGUUGGGUGUGUUUGGUUUGUGUUGGGCGUGGUUGUUUUGUGUUGGGCGUGGUUGGUUUGUGUUGGGCGUGGUUGGUUUGCGUUGGGCGUGGUUGGUUUGAGUUUGGUUUGGUUGGUUUGCGUUGGUCGUGUUUGGUUUGUGUUGGGCGUGGUUGUUUUGUGUUGGGCGUGGUUGGUUUGUGUUGGGCGUGGUUGUUUUGUGUUGGGCGUGAUUGGUUUGUGUUGGGCGUGGUUGGCUUGUGUUGGGCGUGGUUGGUUUGUGUUCGGUGUGGUUGGUUUGUGUUAGGCGUAGUUGGUUUGUGUUGGGCGUGGUUGGUUUGUGUUGGGUGUGGUUGGUUUGUGUUGGGAUUGGUUGGUUUGUGUUGGGCGGGGUUGGUUUGUGUU